UUCUUUUUUUUUUUUUUUUUUUUUUUUGGAGCUGGAGACUGAACCCAGGGCCUUGCGCUUGCUAGGCAAGCGCUCUACCACUGAGCUAAAUCCUCAACCCCCUCAGGGUUGUUUUGAUUUGCAUUUUCCUUAUGAUUAAAGUUGUUGAACAUUUCUUUAGGUGUUUCUCAGCCAUUCAACAUUCCUCAGCUAUGAAUUCUUUGUUUAGCUCUGAACCCCAGUUUUUUAAUAGGGUUAUUUGUCUUCCUGCAGUCUAACUUUGUGAGUUCUUUGUAUAUUUUGGAUAUAAGCUCUCUAUCAGUUGUAGGAUUGGUAAAGAUCUUUUCCCAAUCUGUUGGUUGCCGUAUUGUCCUAACAACUGUGUCCUUUGCCUUACAGAAGCUUUGCAGUUUUAUGAGAUCCCAUUUGUCGAUUCUUGAUCUUAGAGCAUAAGCCAUUGGUGUUUUGUUCAGGAAAUUUUCUCCAGUGCCCAUGUGUUCGAGAUUCUUCCCCACUUUCUGAGGUGCAUUUCUUAUCAAAGCAGAUCUGGCCUCCAGGUUUUCUUGGUAUCCCCAGUCUCUACCUGACAUCCAUACUCUGUCCCCAACCCUGAACUGUGCUGGCCUUCCCAAGAGGCUUUAUAUAAUCCAGACAUUUUGGUCUCCCAAAUCCUGCUCUCUUUCUUUCCUUCUCCUAUCUCUGCAAGCACACACAAGCCCUUUUUCUACCACCUCCUCACCUUGAUGACUUCCCUGGUCUCAGUGUUUGGGCCAGUGAAACUCAGAGGAGAGCAGCUUCCCUUAAUAUCUGCCUUGAAUUGACUCAUUUCACCACUGAAGAAAUAAUUUAUCAAUGUCCCAUCCAAGAGCAGUAACCUCUCUUAAUCACAGAGACAUUUCUUCAGUCUCUAGUAGUUAGGAACUAGUAGUAGUAAUUAGUAGUAUAUUUUUAGAGUAUAUAAUUUUUUAUUUCUAGUUUUUAUUAUUUUUGAGAUAAUAUAAUUACAUUUUUACCCUUUCCUUCUCCUCCCUCCAAUCUCCUUAUGACUCUUCCCAGC
rnacentral:lncRNA from 1 species